rnacentral:rRNA from 1 species
CCUACGGGGGGCUGCAGUGGGGAAUAUUGGACAAUGGGCGCAAGCCUGAUCCAGCCAUGCCGCGUGAGUGAUGAAGGCCUUAGGGUUGUAAAGCUCUUUCAGUGGGGAAGAUAAUGACGGUACCCACAGAAGAAGCCCCGGCUAACUUCGUGCCAGCAGCCGCGGUAAUACGAAGGGGGCUAGCGUUGUUCGGAUUUACUGGGCGUAAAGCGCACGUAGGCGGAUUGUUAAGUCAGGGGUGAAAUCCUGGAGCUCAACUCCAGAACUGCCUUUGAUACUGGCAAUCUAGAGUCCGGAAGAGGUGAGUGGAACUCCUAGUGUAGAGGUGGAAUUCGUAGAUAUUAGGAAGAACACCAGUGGCGAAGGCGGCUCACUGGUCCGGUACUGACGCUGAGGUGCGAAAGCGUGGGGAGCAAACAGGAUUAGAUACCCCAGUAGUC